rnacentral:rRNA from 1 species
CGAACGCGUCUUGGUUAUUGAUGUUGGAUGCUUGCAUUUAACUGCCUUAACAUUGAGACGAGUGGCGAACUGGUGAGUAACACGUGGGUAACCUGCCCUUGAAGUAGGGGAUAACACUUGGAAACAGGUGCUAAUACCGUAUAACAACCAAAACCACCUGGUUUUGGUUUAAAAGAUGGCUUCGGCUAUCACUUUAGGAUGGACCCGCGGCGUAUUAGCUUGUUGGUAAGGUAACGGCCUACCAAGGCAAUGAUACGUAGCCGACCUGAGAGGGUAAUCGGCCACAUUGGGACUGAGACACGGCCCAAACUCCUACGGGAGGCAGCAGUAGGGAAUCUUCCACAAUGGACGAAAGUCUGAUGGAGCAACGCCGCGUGAGUGAUGAAGGGUUUCGGCUCGUAAAACUCUGUUGUUGGAGAAGAACAGGUGUGAGAGUAACUGUUCACAUCUUGACGGUAUCCAACCAGAAAGCCACGGCUAACUACGUGCCAGCAGCCGCGGUAAUACGUAGGUGGCAAGCGUUGUCCGGAUUUAUUGGGCGUAAAGCGAGCGCAGGCGGUUUCUUAGGUCUGAUGUGAAAGCCUUCGGCUUAACCGGAGAAGUGCAUCGGAAACCAGGAGACUUGAGUGCAGAAGAGGACAGUGGAACUCUAUGUGUAGCGGUGAAAUGCGUAGAUAUAGGGAAGAACACCAGUGGCGAAGGCGGCUGUCUGGUCUGUAACUGACGCUGAGGCUCGAAAGCAUGGGUAGCG